rnacentral:rRNA from 1 species
UACGUAGGUGGCAAGCGUUGUCCGGAAUUAUUGGGCGUAAAGCGCGCGCCGGCGGUCCCUUAAGUCUGAUGUGAAAGCCCACGGCUCAACCGUGGAGGGUCAUUGGAAACUGGGGGACUUGAGUACAGAAGAGGAAAGCGGAAUUCCACGUGUAGCGGUGAAAUGCGUAGAGAUGUGGAGGAACACCAGUGGCGAAGGCGGCUUUCUGGUCUGUAACUGACGCUGAGGCGCGAAAGCGUGGGGAGCAAACAGG